rnacentral:snoRNA from 1 species
UGUGCAUAUGAAAAGAAAAAACAUGCGGAGCAGUCCAUCUAGUUCUGUAAGAAAGAUUCCAUUGUCUAUAAAUAUUAUGGACUGCUA